rnacentral:rRNA from 1 species
CCUACGGGAGGCAGCAGUGGGGAAUAUUGGGCAAUGGGCGCAAGCCUGACCCAGCAACGCCGCGUGAAGGAAGAAGGCUUUCGGGUUGUAAACUUCUUUUCUCAGGGACGAAGCAAGUGACGGUACCUGACUAAGAAGCCCCGGCUAACUACGUGCCAGCAGCCGCGGUAAUACGUAGGGGGCAAGCGUUAUCCGGAUUCACUGGGUGUAAAGGGAGCGUAGACGGCCAGGCAAGCCUGGAGUGAAAGCCCGGGGCCCAACCCCGGGACUGCUCUGGGAACUGUCCGGCUGGAGUGCGGGAGGGGCAGGCGGAAUUCCUGGUGUAGCGGUGAAAUGCGUAGAUAUCAGGAGGAACACCGGCGGCGAAGGCGGCCUGCUGGACCGCGACUGACGUUGAGGCUCGAAAGCGUGGGGAGCGAACAGGAUUAGAUACCCUAGUAGUC